GCACUUGUUUCGGCAGCACAUAUGCUAAAAUUGGAAUGACACAGAGAAGAUCAGCAUGGCCCUGCACAAGAAUGACAAGCAAGUUCAUGAAGCAUUCUGUAUUUUA